rnacentral:rRNA from 1 species
GAUGAACGCUAGCGGCAGGCUUAAUACAUGCAAGUCGAGGGGCAGCACGGGUAGCAAUACCUGGUGGCGACCGGCAAACGGGUGCGGAACACGUACGCAACCUUCCCAUAACUGGUGAAUAGCCCUCCGAAAGGAGGAUUAAUACACCGUAACUUAACGAAGUGGCAUCACUUUGUUAAUAUAGGCUUCGGCCGGUUUUGGAUGGGCGUGCGCCUGAUUAGGUAGUUGGCGGGGUAACGGCCCACCAAGCCUGCGAUCAGUAACUGGUGUGAGAGCACGACCAGUCACACGGGCACUGAGACACGGGCCCGACUCCUACGGGAGGCAGCAGUAAGGAAUAUUGGUCAAUGGACGAAAGUCUGAACCAGCCAUGCCGCGUGAAGGAUUAAGGCCCUCUGGGUUGUAAACUUCUUUUAUCUGGGACGAAAAAAGGGUAUUCUUACUCACUUGACGGUACCAGAGGAAUAAGCACCGGCUAACUCCGUGCCAGCAGCCGCGGUAAAGUACAGUGU